rnacentral:rRNA from 1 species
UGCCCUACGGGAGGCAGCAGUGAGGAAUAUUGGUCAAUGGGCUUACGCCUGAACCAGCCAAGUCGCGUGAGGGAAGACUGCCCUAUGGGUUGUAAACCUCUUUUGUCAGGGAGCAACGCCGGCUACGUGUAGCCGGACUGAGAGUACCUGAAGAAAAAGCAUCGGCUAACUCCGUGCCAGCAGCCGCGGUAAUACGGAGGAUGCGAGCGUUAUCCGGAUUUAUUGGGUUUAAAGGGUGCGUAGGCGGAAUGCCAAGUCAGCGGUAAAAAUGCGGUGCUCAACGCCGUAUCGCCGUUGAAACUGCG